rnacentral:pre_miRNA from 1 species
GUCCACUUCCGGGUCUGCCAGGAAGCAUGCUGGGCCCUCCGUGUCCCUCCCAGCUCAGCAAUUGGCCAUGGGGGCACCAGUUGCCAAGCCAGGGAGGCACGGGGGAGUCCCCCAGUGUGCUCCCUGGAAGACCUGGAAGUAGAC